rnacentral:rRNA from 1 species
GCCAGACUCCUACGGGAGGCAGCAGUGGGGGAUAUUGCACAAUGGGGGGAACCCUGAUGCAGCGACGCCGCGUGGGUGAAGGAGUAUUUCGGUAUGUAAAGCCCUAUCGGCAGGGAAGAAGCAAGACGGUACCUGACUAAGAAGCCCCGGCUAACUACGUGCCAGCAGCCGCGGUAAUACGUAGGGGGCGAGCGUUAUCCGGAUUCGCUGGGUGUAAAGGGAGCGUAGACGGCCAAGCAAGCCAGGGGUGAAAGCCCGGGGCCCAACCCCGGGACUGCCCUUGGAACUGCUUGGCUGGAGUGCGGGAGGGGCAGGCGGAAUUCCUGGUGUAGCGGUGAAAUGCGUAGAUAUCAGGAGGAACACCGGUGGCGAAGGCGGCCUGCUGGACUGCGACUGACGUUGAGGCCCGAAAGCGUGGGGAGCAAACAGGAUUAGAUACCCUAGUA